rnacentral:rRNA from 1 species
UACGGGGGGAGCAAGCGUUGUUCGGAUUUACUGGGCGUAAAGGGCGCGUAGGCGGUCAGCACAAGUCAGUUGUGAAAUCUCCGGGCUUAACUCGGAAAGGUCAACUGAUACUGUGCGACUAGAGUGCGGAAGGGGCAACUGGAAUUCUCGGUGUAGCGGUGAAAUGCGUAGAUAUCGAGAGGAGCACCUGCGGCGAAGGCGGGUUGCUGGGCCGACACUGACGCUGAUGCGCGAAAGCCAGGGGAGCGAACGGG